rnacentral:rRNA from 1 species
GGUUAAGCGACUAAGCGUACACGGUGGAUGCCCUGGCAGUCAGAGGCGAUGAAGGACGUGCUAAUCUGCGAUAAGCGUCGGUAAGGUGAUAUGAACCGUUAUAACCGGCGAUUUCCGAAUGGGGAAACCCAGUGUGAUUCGUCACACUAUCAUUAACUGAAUCCAUAGGUUAAUGAGGCGAACCGGGGGAACUGAAACAUCUAAGUACCCCGAGGAAAAGAAAUCAACCGAGAUUCCCCCAGUAGCGGCGAGCGAACGGGGAGCAGCCCAGAGCCUGAAUCAGUGUGUGUGUUAGUGGAAGCGUCUGGAAAGGCGCGCGAUACAGGGUGACAGCCCCGUACACAAAAAUGCACAUGCUGUGAGCUCGAUGAGUAG